GUCUACGACCAUACCACCCUGAAUGCACCUCGUCUCUUGUGAUCUCAAAGCUAAGCAGGGUCGGGCCUGGUUAGUACUUGGAUGGGAGAAAGAAACAUGACAAUUGACAGCA
rnacentral:rRNA from 1 species